AUGGCGACCGGCGCACGGGUGAGUAACACGUAUCCAACCUGCCGAUGACUCGGGGAUAGCCUUUCGAAAGAAAGAUUAAUACCCGAUGGCAUAGUUCUUCCGCAUGGUAGAACUAUUAAAGAAUUUCGGUCAUCGAUGGGGAUGCGGUUCCAUUAGCUUGUUGGCGGGGUAACGGCCCACCAAGGCAUCGAUGGAUAGGGGUUCUGAGAGGAAGGUCCCCCACAUUGGAACUGAGACACGGUCCAAACUCCUACGGAAGGCAGCAG
rnacentral:rRNA from 1 species